rnacentral:rRNA from 1 species
AAUAGAUACCCAGGUAGUCCACGCCGUAAACGAUGAGUGCUAAGUGUUAGAGGGUUUCCGCCCUUUAGGUGCUGCAGCUAACGCAUUAAGCACUCCGCCUGGGGAGUACGGUCGCAAGACUGAAACUCAAAGGAAUUGACGGGGGCCCGCACAAGCGGUGGAGCAUGUGGUUUAAUUCGAAGCAACGCGAAGAACCUUACCAGGUCUUGACAUCCCACUGACCGGUAUAGAGAUAUACCUUUCCCUUCGGGGACAGUGGUGACAGGUGGUGCAUGGUUGUCGUCAGCUCGUGUCGUGAGAUGUUGGGUUAAGUCCCGCAACGAGCGCAACCCUUGAUCUUAGUUGCCAGCAUUUAGUUGGGCACUCUAAGGUGACUGCCGGUGACAAACCGGAGGAAGGUGGGGAUGACGUCAAAUCAUCAUGCCCCUUAUGACCUGGGCUACACACGUGCUACAAUGGAUGGUACAAAGGGCUGCAAGACUGCGAAGUCAAGCCAAUCCCAUAAAACCAUUCUCAGUUCGGAUUGCAGG